GACAGAGGGGGCAAGCGUUGCUCGGAAUCACUGGGCGUAAAGAGCGCGCAGGCGGUCGUUCAAGUCGAGUGUGAAAGCCCCCCGGCUCAACUGGGGAGGGUCACUCGAUACUGAUCGACUCGAAGGCAGAAGAGGGAAGCGGAAUUCCCGGUGUAGUGGUGAAAUGCGUAGAUAUCGGGAGGAACACCAGUGGCGAAGGCGGCUUUCUGGUCUGCUCUUGACGCUGAGGCGCGAAAGCUAGGGUAGCAAACGGG
rnacentral:rRNA from 1 species